GCAAACUUGGUCAUUUAGAGGAAGUAAAAGUCGUAACAAGGUUUCCGUAGGUGAACCUGCGGAAGGAUCAUUAAUAAUUUUAAGCCGAAAGGCUUUCAAGUCAUGUGCAUUGUUUUUAACAAAGUGGUACUAUAAUUAAGUUUAAAGAGUACCAGCCAAUAUUAUUGAUACAAAUAUCUGAUUUUUUAGUAUAAAAAAAUCACAACUUUCAACAAUGGAUCUCUAGGCUCUUGCAUCGAUGAAGAACGCAGC
rnacentral:misc_RNA from 1 species